rnacentral:tRNA from 1 species
GGGGAUCUAGCUCAGUUGGUAGAGUGCUUGCCUUGCAUGCACAAGGCCCUGGGUUUAAUCCCCAGCAUCGCCA